UACGGAGGGAGCUAGCGUUGUUCGGAAUUACUGGGCGUAAAGCGCACGUAGGCGGCUAUUCAAGUCGGGGGUGAAAGCCCGGGGCUCAACCCCGGAACUGCCCUCGAAACUAGAUAGCUAGAAUCUUGGAGAGGCGAGUGGAAUUCCGAGUGUAGAGGUGAAAUUCGUAGAUAUUCGGAAGAACACCAGUGGCGAAGGCGACUCGCUGGACAAGUAUUGACGCUGAGGUGCGAAAGCCAGGGGAGCAAACGGG
rnacentral:rRNA from 1 species